rnacentral:rRNA from 1 species
GAUGAACGCUGGCGGCGUGCCUAAUACAUGCAAGUCGAGCGAAUGGAUUAAGAGCUUGCUCUUAUGAAGUUAGCGGCGGACGGGUGAGUAACACGUGGGUAACCUGCCCAUAAGACUGGGAUAACUCCGGGAAACCGGGGCUAAUGCCGGAUAACAUUUUGAACCGCAUGGUUCGAUAUUGAAAGGCGGCUUCGGCUGUCACUUAUGGAUGGACCCGCGUCGCAUUAGCUAGUUGGUGAGGUAACGGCUCACCAAGGCAACGAUGCGUAGCCGACCUGAGAGGGUGAUCGGCCACACUGGGACUGGGACACGGCCCAGACUCCUACGGGAGGCAGCAGUAGGGAAUCUUCCGCAAUGGACGAAAGUCUGACGGAGCAACGCCGCGUGAGUGAUGAAGGCUUUCGGGUCGUAAAACUCUGUUGUUAGGGAAGAACAAGUGCUAGUUGAAUAAGCUGGCACCUUGACGGUACCUAACCAGAAAGCCACGGCUAACUACGUGCCAGCCGCCGCAGUAA